rnacentral:siRNA from 1 species
GUAGUAGUCGGAUUUUGGAUAC